rnacentral:rRNA from 1 species
GUGCCUAAUACAUGCAAGUCGAACGCAAUCUUUGACUAAUGAGUGCUUGCACUCAGCAGUCAAAGUGCGAGUGGCGAACGGGUGAGUAACACGUGGGCAAUCUGCCCAAAAGUGGGGGAUAACACUUGGAAACAGGUGCUAAUACCGCAUCAACCGGCUGACCGCAUGGUCGGCCGGGCAAAGACGGCGUCAGCUGUCGCUUUUGGAUGAGCCCGCGGCGUAUUAACUAGUUGGUAAGGUAACGGCUUACCAAGGUGAUGAUACGUAGCCGAACUGAGAGGUUGAUCGGCCACAUUGGGACUGAGACACGGCCCAAACUCCUACGGGAGGCAGCAGUAGGGAAUCUUCCACAAUGGACGCAAGUCUGAUGGAGCAACGCCGCGUGUAUGAAGAAGGUCUUCGGAUCGUAAAAUACUGUUGUCAGAGAAGAACACGUGAUAGAGUAACUGCUAUGGCGCUGACGGUAUCUGACCAGCAAGUCACGGCUAACUACGUGCCAGCAGCCGCGGUAAUACGUAGGUGGCAAGCGUUGUCCGGAUUUAUUGGGCGUAAAGGGAACGCAGGCGGUCUUUUAAGUCUGAUGUGAAAGCCUUCGGCUUAACCGGAGAAGUGCAUUGGAAACUGGAAGACUUGAGUGCAGAAGAGGAGAGUGGAACUCCAUGUGUAGCGGUGAAAUGACGUAGAUAUAUGGAAGAACACCAGUGGCGAAAAGCGGCUCUCUGGUCUGUAACUGACG